rnacentral:rRNA from 1 species
GACGAACGCUGGCGGCGUGCUUAACACAUGCAAGUCGAACGGAAAGGCCCCUUUGGGGGUACUCGAGUGGCGAACGGGUGAGUAACACGUGAGUAACCUGCCCUUGACUUCGGGAUAACUUCAGGAAACUGGGGCUAAUACCGGAUAGGAAUCCUUGCUGCAUGGUGGGGGUUGGAAAGCUUCGGCGGUUUUGGAUGGACUCGCGGCUUAUCAGCUUGUUGGUGGGGUAGUGGCUUACCAAGGCUUUGACGGGUAGCCGGCCUGAGAGGGCGACCGGCCACAUUGGGACUGAGAUACGGCCCAGACUCCUACGGGAGGCAGCAGUGGGGAAUAUUGCACAAUGGGCGGAAGCCUGAAGCAGCAACGCCGCGUGCGGGAUGACGGCCUUCGGGUUGUAAACCGCUUUCAGCAGGGGCGAAGCUUGUGGUGACGGUACCUGCAGAAGAAGCACCGGCUAACUACGUG